UACAGAGGUCCCAAGCGUUGUUCGGAUUCAUUGGGCGUAAAGGGUGCGUAGGCGGCGCGGUAAGUCGGGUGUGAAAUCUCGGAGCUUAACUCCGAAACUGCGUUCGAUCCUGCCGUGCUUGAGGACUGGAGAGGAGACUGGAAUUUACGGUGUAGCGGUGAAAUGCGUAGAGAUCAUGAGGAAGACCAGUGGCGAAGGCGGGUCUCUGGACAGUUCCUGACACUGAGACACGAAGGCCAGGGGAGCAAACGGG
rnacentral:rRNA from 1 species